rnacentral:rRNA from 1 species
CGAGCAACCUACAUACCCUGUCUAAUGAGAGUUGGUACGUAACGGUCUUUUCUAACACGUUUGGAUGAGUCGACCUCUUUAGCCUCCUAGUGUGCGUGGUCCUCAUACCUUGUGUAUGCGCUUGUUGACGACGCUGAACGGACGUCGCCUUUGGGAACCGCCCUCGGAACUAACAUGAACUCCAGAACUCGACGUGGUUUCAGACUGCGAAUGGUUAAGCAAGUCCGUCCUACUUCGGGAGCAGUUCGCUAACGGGACGUAACCUACCUUCCGUUCUGAGGUCUAAGCACUAAUGAUAGGACACACACCCGGUCGAAACGUUUUUACGACCGUCGAGGAGCCGAACAUUAUCCUAUCCAGAAACAAUGGACCUUAAAAUCGACAUGAACACCGACACACACUGUCGUGUGACUUGUACUAAAGACAAAAGACGACCGGAGCAAAGUUAUUUUACACGGGCCCCUUUGGGGAUAGGAAGAUUGGUUUUUUUUUGUAUGAUAUCAUCGAGUCGGAAGCCCGUUAGUUGGUAACAAACCUCUCCUUUUUCGAAGUUUGCUAAUUCGGUCACUUCCUAAACAAGAACAGCGCAAAGGUCUUUCAUAUAAUCCGUUAUCUAAUUGAACUACCAGAUUUAGUUGGUACGAGGACUAUUACACCUUCCAAAUGUCGGAGUUCGUUCUCGACGACGUUGAUCGUUUCUCUUUACCACCGAGGGCUUAAGAGGUAGGAGGAACAUUCUACGAGUAGGAGUUCACGAGGUAGUCGCGUUGUGUUGGAAACCGAGCGAACAGUGGGAGACCAAACCGUUCCGGUAGCAAACUAUGUGGUGGAUGUCGUACGCUUACGGUCAACUUCGUGUCAAACCCACCGAGGAAGUCGUGUGAGUCUCGAAACCUUAGGGUCUAAGUAGACACGUAGGAUGCUGUCUGUGGUCUCUGACACGAAUGGUCCCGUCAACCAAACCUGUGGAAGUGGUUGGGCCGGUUAUGGCUGGACGGGUUAGAUCACGAAUUGUUACGAGGUACCCUAUUUUGAGACGUCGGCCGAGUACCGCUGUCUGUUGUGGCCACCGUCCGAAGAGGAGUUACACGUUCUAAUACUCUCUCUGGGGCACAAAAUGCGACACCGACGUGAGACACCUUUGGUUAUGUCGAGCAGAACCAGGUCACUGUAGCAGUCCUCGCCGAGUGUCGACCAUCAUGAAGUGGCACGGAACUUUCUAGUUUUUAGUCGUAGUGUAUACACCUCUACUGGACGUACCGUCUGGUGGUGGUGGCAGGGUCGAACUUUGUCUACCGCUUAAGGCCGCUACGUAGAUGGUUUCUACCGUCGUCGCUCGUAGGUCACCUUGCAAGGACGUUGAAGUAGAGUUCCCCGUAGACGUUGUAGCAACAUUGUCCUCUACGUUCGUCUCAUACGUGCGACUUGUACAUGGUGUCGUCAAGUUGUGUUUUAAUUUCGUGUCCAUGACGUCUAAACUGACCUGGUCCUUGGUCUCCACCCAACGGUAAACGGUCAAGGGUUGUACAAUACGUAAGUAACUAGUCGUCUUCAUGUCUCCCACGGUUCGUCUGCAGGUUCGGGUCUCAGCACUGAAACUACUUGUAGUAAGUUGUAGGUUGGUCAAACUAGAUGAAAGUCACUAUCGACACCUGACCCGAGAACGACGGUACUCGUGUUCAUGUGAUAGUUAGUCCUAUUAACGUACUCUACACGUACAACUUGACAAAGACGUGAAAAAAAGUGGUUCAAAACAAAAAACCGUCAGACCAUAAAGUGGUUCAAGUAACGACCUUCCUCGACGACGACAGAUUGUCUUUCCGCUUUUCGUGGUACUCGUCUUGUGACAUAGAUUUGCACGGUUUCUUGUCGUCGAGGACUAGACUCUAGUCGUUACUGUGCUGUUCGCCUUCUUUCUGUUCUGUAUAAUAACCCAGGAACCCUGGAGAAAACGAGGUACCUGCGAGAUAGGAACAUUUGGAAGGGGAGUAGAUGGGAAAAACCUCGAGUAUAGAACGUCCAUUUUACAACUUGUUCUUUAUAGAGUACUCCUAUCUCGUUAAGAUUGCCUGACCCGACCUAUAUAGUUAGAAGACCACGACCUUCUGUUCCGUCGAAGGGAACUGUACUUCUCCCAGGUCGACAAACACCGUCACCGUGACGCCACACACCUCAGUUGGACAUUUAUCCAACUCAUACCGUUCACUAGCUUGGUCCCUUGUGGUUGAUGACGUUACUGUCCUCGUUCGCUGUGCGGGAUUUUACGUAUUCUACUGGGUCCACGAACUACCUCGUCAACUCUAGGUACACGGAGGACUAG